rnacentral:rRNA from 1 species
AUUGAACGCUGGCGGCAUGCUUUACACAUGCAAGUCGAACGGUAACAGGCCGCAAGGUGCUGACGAGUGGCGAACGGGUGAGUAAUGCAUCGGAACGUGCCCGGUCGUGGGGGAUAACACUUCGAAAGAAGUGCUAAUACCGCAUACGAUCUGAGGAUGAAAGCGGGGGACCGUAAGGCCUCGCGCGAUCGGAGCGGCCGAUGUCAGAUUAGGUAGUUGGUGGGGUAAAGGCUCACCAAGCCAACGAUCUGUAGCUGGUCUGAGAGGACGACCAGCCACACUGGGACUGAGACACGGCCCAGACUCCUACGGGAGGCAGCAGUGGGGAAUUUUGGACAAUGGGCGCAAGCCUGAUCCAGCAAUGCCGCGUGCAGGAAGAAGGCCUCGGGUUGUAAACUGCUUU